CUGGCUCAGGAUGAACGCUGGCGGCGUGCCUUAUGCAUGCAAGUCGAACGGUCUCUUGGCCCGCAAGGGUUCAAGAGCAGUGGCGAACGGCUGAGUAAUACAUAAGUAACCUACCCUCGAGUGGGGAAUAAUUCUUCGAAAGAAGGACUAAUUCCGCAUAGCCUGGCCCCUCAUAAGAGGAGUCAGCAAAGGCGAAAGUCGCUUGAGGAGGGGCUUGUGUCCUAUCAGGUAGUUGGUGAGGUAAAGGCCCACCAAGCCUAUGACGGGUAGCUGGUCUGAGAGGAUGUACAGCCAGAUGGGGACUGAGAAACGGCCCCAACUCCUACGGGAGGCAGCAGCAGG
rnacentral:rRNA from 1 species